CAUAAACAUAGAGAUCUUCAUGAGCUAAAAUGUAAUAUUACCGGUUUCCGGUUGCUUCGAGAUGUGUCGUAGACUCGAAAUUUCCAUUUCUUGUGAGAAAGAGGAAUAAACAUACAUAAUGAUUUACAAUUAGGAGGUUGUUAUGCGAGGUUCGAAGUUUCACAGUUAUGUCAAUUGGCAGCGAAUGAUAUGGGACAAGUCAAUGAUAUUGGACCUACGGAACAUGUCGGAGAACAAGGCAAUGCCAUUGUUGGCGCAUGAAGGACUAAUUGUAGGUUUGGUAUAUUUAACGGUUACGGGUUUGGUUGCAUAAGAUAAUGGCAUUUGGUUUGAUGUACUUUGUGUUAUUGGUUGUUUUGUGUAUGUUGUUCAACUUUUAAUGGAAGUUGGUUGGUUUG